AGUCAAGGAGAACAUUUCCUUCGGGAAAUUAUUAAACUGGCGAACGGGUGAGUAACACGUAGGCAACCUACCCUAGAGAUUGGGAUAACUCCGGGAAACCGGAGCUAAUACCGAAUAAUGCAGCGGAUCCUUCGGGAUAUUGUUGUUAAAGCGGGCUUCGGCUCGCACUUUUGGAUGGGCCUGCGCCCGAUUAGCUUGUUGGUAAGGUAAUGGCUUACCAAGGCCAUGAUCGGUAGCUGGUCUGAGAGGAUGAUCAGCCACACUGGGAUUGAGAUACGGCCCAGACUUCUACGGAAGGCAGCAGUAAGGAAUUUUGCGCAAUGGACGAAAGUCUGACGCAGCAACGCCGCGUGAUCGAUGAAGCUUCUAGGAGUGUAAAGAUCUGUCGUAAGGGAAGAAAAACCUGGAUGUAAAUAAUGUUCAGAUUUGACGGUACCUUUCAAGAAAGCACCGGCUAACUUCGUGCCAGCAGCCGCGGUAAUACGAGGGGUGCUAGCGUUGUCCGGAAUAACUGAGCGUAAAGGGUUCGUAGGCGUUUUACCAAGUUGAUUGUUAAAUCCACCGGCUUAACCGGUGACCUGCAAUCAAAACUGGUAGAAUAGAAUAUGUGAGAGGAAUGUGGAAUUCCUGGUGUAGCGGUGACAUGCGUAGAUAUCAGGAGGAACACCAAUGGCGAAGGCAGCAUUCUGGCACAAUAUUGACGCUGAGGAACGAAAGCGUGGGGAGCGAACAGGAUUAGAUACCCUGGUAGUCCACGCCGUAAACGAUGAGUACUUGAUGGUGGAAGAUUCGACCCUUUCACUAUCGGAGCUAACGCGUUAAGUACUCCGCCUGGGGACUACGGCCGCAAGGCUGAACUCAAGGAAUUGACGGGACCCGCACAAGCGGUGGAACAUGUGGUUUAAUUCGAUGCAA
rnacentral:rRNA from 1 species